rnacentral:tRNA from 1 species
UUUAAUAUGGCAGAAUAAGUGCAAUGAACUUAAGAUUCAUAAAUAAAAUUAUUAUUUUUUUAUUAAAA